rnacentral:lncRNA from 10 species
UUCCGCUCAAGUUCCUCCGCCGCGACCUCAGGACAGGCCGAAGAGGCGCGCACUACUCACGUGUCUUCCAAGUGCUGCUCCAAGGUCGCCUCCAUCCCACCCACCGACCACUCCGGCUCAGAACCCAGCGGCACGGCACGUCCUUCUCCACCACAGGCCUCAGUCACUUGACGCGAGCGGGGCGUGGACCGUAACGGCGCCUCCAAAGGGACAAAAUUGAUCACGGUGCAACGUCCGCGUUCUUUACUGGAAAACAUCACUGCGCUUCCGUCGCACAGAGCCUGACGAAGGCUUGGGCUCCCCGCGCGGUGACCGUCGAGGUGACCUGCACCUGGCUCCAUGGCGGAACCGGCCGGCACGGAUUAUUCCCCUCUCGGGAGAGGUCUGCAGCCGGGCCUCAGUGCUUCAGUUCGUGGCCUGGCAUUUUGUGUCAGUGUUUUUUAACCUUUGGACCCUAGUUCAACCGACUCCGAGACCUAGGGGACAGAUCUUAAGUUUUACAAUAACCCAGGGGUCAGACAGGGUCUGAUCUAGCCUGUGGGGCAAGUACGGGGAAGACACGGGACCUCUUGGAGGGGGUCAGUAGGCUUGUAGGGGGAAAGACGCACACAGAGACUAAAGGACGAGAUGGAGCAAGGUUCAACCCCCUAGCUGAGUGUUGGCAGUGUCGGGAUUUUAACGAAGACAUUGGUGCUUAUUAUGGUGAGGGGACUCAGGACAGUUUAGGGGAAGAGAGUGGCAUUUGAGUCCUAACUCGUAAGGAAGACUGGGUAGGACUACUUGAAAAUAACUUUUAAAAAUUAAUUAUAAAGCUGGUAAAAAUAGGAAAACAUCUAUGGCCCCACUGUCCAAAGACGACUUUUAACUUCUUGGAGAAUAUCCUUUCAGAUAGUUGUCUUUGUAAAUGUAUACUUUUAAUGUUUUUUCGUUUGCCUUUUUAAAAUAAAUUUUUUGGGGGACAGGGUCUUGCUCUGUUACCCAGGCUGUAGUGCAGUAGAACGAUUAUAGCUCAUUGCAACCCGGACGUCCUGGGUUCAAGCUAUCCUCACCUCUCAGCCUCUCGACUGGCUAGGACCACAGCCUCGAGCCAUCAUGUCUGGCUAAUUUUUACGUUUUUUUGUAGAGAUGGGGGUCUCGCUGUGUUGUCCAGGCUGGUCUUAAACUCCUUGCUUCAACAGAUCCUCCCACUCCAGCCUCCCAAAAUGUGAUUACAGGCUGAGUCACCACGCCUAGCAUGGUUUUUUUUGUUUUGUUUGUUUUGUAAGCAAAAUUGACAUACAUACUGGAGGUACAAUUCUGUAGCUGGCCUUCUUUACAGAGUUUAGAAUAAAUGUCUUUCCAUGUCAAGUUUUCACUUACAUCCUUUGUAGUAGUUGCAAAAUAUUCCAUUUUAUAGCUGUAUCUUAAUUGUGGAUUAAGGUUGGAGUGCAGUGGCACUAUCAUGGCUUAGUCCAGCCUCAGCCUUCUAGGUUCAAGCGAUCUUCCCACCUCAGCCUCCCAAGAAGCUGGGACUACAGGGACCCGCCACCCCACCUAGCUAAUUAAAAAAAAAAUUGUAGAGAUGGAGUCUCAGUGUGUAGCCCAGUCUCAAGUGACCCUCCCUCGUUGGCUUCCCAAAGCGCUGAGAUUGCAGGAAGAGUGUCUUCAUCUCUGCAUCCCUAGUGCAACAGAGCAUGACAAAAAUUCAACAAAUAUUUAUUGAAGAGUCUUGAUGUCUUUUGGGAAAGGAACUCUAUGGUUACCUUUACUCUAAGGUAAAGAAAUUUAGGUCCUGAACUUUAACCACCUUCUCCUCUUCUUUCUUCCCUCUUUCAUAAAUGAGCUCUUGGAAAAUUAAAAUGCCAGGAGGGUCCAGCAGAGAAUACCCAAGCCCACAUGUCCUGAUGGGAAGUGGGGGAUAAGUAGAGAGGGAAACACAGACCCUGUAGGCCAUCUCACUGCUGCUGGCCCAGGGGACCCUAACUCCUUUUGUUGACUCAUCAGAAGUAGAAUCCUCCUGAGGGUCUGUUUAAGAAGCACAGCUCUGGUAGAAAGGGUAGCUUUCCUAUGGGUACGGAGGGCUCUGCUACCCCAGGGCUAUCCACACUGGCCUGUGAAUCACUCUCAAAUGCUUAGGGUCACGGGCUUUCAGUGGAAUGAGCCCUCAUGUGCCACCAGGGGGCACCAAGGCCACAGAAAACCCUAUUCAGAAGGUUCUGGGGUGAGGGAAAGGAAUCCACGGGUUUGUGGAGCUGGCGGAGCAUGGGUGAGGACAGCAUUAUGCUAGGUUGGUGGCCUUGAAGUCAGAUGUAAAUUGGGAUCCUGGCUUGGCCACUGACUAUCCAUGGGAACUUUGAAUCUCAGGGGGCUCAUUUGUGAUGUGGGGGUACCAUUAUCUGCCUCAUCAGGUUGUGGGGAGGAUUAUAUGAGAUACCUUAUGUAAGAGGGGCUGGUGCAUUGUGGAAGUCAACAAGUAAGUUUUGUUAAAUUUGAGUAAGAAGACCUGUUUGUUUCCUCAAGUUGCUUAUAAUCUAGGUGAGGACACAUCUGAGAGAAUAACUAAUAGUUCAGUGAAGUUAAAAACAACAACAACAACAACAAAAACACAAAACCCUGAGGCUCAGAAGAUAAAUAUUUGCUGAAGAUCACUGUGCUUAUUAGAUGGGUGUUACUGAUUCUUACCUCAGAGAAGAGAAUGUCAUGGAGACAAAAUGACCUGCUUAGAGUUCUGCACCCCCCAGCAUGGAGAGCAGAGCGCAAAGAUUUCUUCCGGACUCCCACAUUCCCCUUGGAAUCCAAGAACUGGUCUACUGUCACAACACUUUAGUACCCUCUUGUAAGCCUGUGGACAAAUCCUCUGAUGCCUUGAUACCUCGGUUUUCCCCCACUAUAAAUGGGAAGAUAAAUUCACUAGAAACAGUACUUACCUUGCAGUGUCAUUAUGAGAAUUUCAUGAGACAAUGCAAUAUAAAGCUCCUAGCACAGUUCCAGGCACCAUUGUAAGCACUGAACAAAUGAAAGCUGUUGUCAUUAGGAUCUCAAGAAAUGACAGCUGAGGCAAAUGUGGAUUAGACUGCAUUCAGCAUUCUUAGCUGCAAGCAACAGAAGCUGACGCUGGUUUAAAGAAUAGGAAAGGAAGUUAAUUAAAA